UACCCUGUAAUUCUGGCUUCUUCCCUGACAGGAUCUGGUAGUAGAUAUGAUAGCCUCGCUCACCGGGCAGCUGGAAGAUCACUCGGGAUUUCUCCAGGAGGUCUGGGUGGGAGGUGGGAGGGAAGGAAGAAUUAGUGCACAGAAGAACAAAUUAGCCUGGUUUCUCCAACAGAGGGGCUCAGGGGCAGGAAGCUACCUUGGAGGACAGCUGGGACUUCCUUUGCUGAUACAGGAGGGUCCUGGGCUGUAUGUCAGUGAGAAGCUAUCGAUAUCGGCAGAUGCCAGCUUUCCUGAUGGUCCAAAGUGGAUCCGAAUGAACUUACCCUGAGGAAUGAAGGGGGCACAGGCAGGCUGGCAAUGAGGGUUAAGUGACUUGCC